GUCAGCAGCUAUAUCACCUUGUAAUUCAGCAACCCACUGAAGCUAAGCAGGUGUGAGCCUGGCCAGUACCUUGAUGGGAAUCCUCCUGGGAAAGUUAAGGUUGCUGCUGGAA
rnacentral:rRNA from 1 species